rnacentral:rRNA from 1 species
GAUGAACGCUGGCGGCGUGCUUAACACAUGCAAGUCGAGCGAGAAAGGACUUCGGUCCAAGUACAGCGGCAGACGGGUGAGUAACGCGUGGGAAUCUUCCUUUUAGUGGAGAAUACCCUCGAGAAAUCGAGGCUAAUACUGCAUAAGUUCCUUCGGGAAGAAAGAUGGCCUCUUGCUAUCGCUAGAAGAUGAGCCCGCGUACUAUUAGCUAGUUGGUAGGGUAAUGGCCUACCAAGGCGAUGAUGGUUAGCCGGCCUGAGAGGGUGUACGGCCACACUGGAACUGAGACACGGUCCAGACUCCUACGGGAGGCAGCAGUGAGGAAUAUUGCGCAAUGGGCGAAAGCCUGACGCAGCGACGCCGCGUGGAGGAUGACGGUCUUCGGAUUGUAAACUUCUGUUAAGUGGGAAGAAAUACCUGGUAAUAAUACGAUCAGGGGAUGACGGUACCAUUAGAGAAAGCACUGGCUAACUUCGUGCCAGCAGCCGCCUAA